rnacentral:ncRNA from 2 species
CCAUCAGGAUCGGGAGAAUCCGGUCGGGGCGCAAGCCCUUGUUUUCUGGUGCCGAAGGAGCAACCGCCCCGGUAAACUCUCAGGCAAAAGGACCGGUUCUGGUGG